AAAAAAAAAUAAUUUCCUUUUUCUUCAAACAUCAUUUUCAAACAGGUACACCCCCCUCCCCCCUUUUUCUCCAAAAAUAAAUAAAUAAAAUAAAUAAAAAUUUCCACUCGAAAACAAUCCUCUUCCCAAGCAAAGCUCUCACUUGAAGCAGGUGUCACGGGGUCAACCCGUCGCUAUUGGCAAUUUAUAUUCCGAUCUUAAAUUGCACACAGCAUCGUAAAAGGUAGAAGCCAAUUCAGUUCUGAUCGCAUUGGAAAAUGGCGAAAUCUGGUGUUUUCGCAUCAUCUUUGCAAUUCCUCUUCAUCACCGCCCUCUUAUGGGUAUCAUUUUCCGUUCCAGUUGAUGCAAAAACCAAAUCACCUCAAGGUUUCGUUAAGAAGGCCAUCUCUUCUCAUUCCAUCGUCAUCUUCUCCAAAUCUUACUGCCCGUAUGACUCUUUUCCCUUAAUUGAAUUUUUGUACGUUUGAAAUUAUUCUUUAUUUUAGUUUUUCCGUGCGCUUUUUACAUUGUACUAUCAGUUUCUUUGUUUUGAAAUUUGAUGCAUAGAUAUGUUUUGAAGGAGUAAAAUGGGAACUUUCUUGGAGAGAUUGUGAUAAAGGAAUUUUGACUAAUUAAGGAGGAACCCAUCGAUUAUUAGCUAUGAGCUAUUGUGGAAGUGUAAAGCUGAGUU
rnacentral:lncRNA from 1 species